AUGGACCGUUUCUCAAAAAUGGCACAUUUUAUGCCUUGCAACAAGAUAGACGAUGCUUCACAUGUUGCUAAUCUCUUUUGUAAGGAAAUAUUGCGCCUACAUGGAGUGCCAAAGACUAUCGUCUCGGACCACGACGUCAAGUUCCUUAACUGCUUUUGGAAGACCCUAUGCGCCAAGCUCGGAAUCAAGCUACUCUUCUCUACGGCAUAUCAUCCACAAACCGACGGCCAAACGGAAGUUACCAACUGCACACUCUAUGCUCUACUUCGAGUACUAAUCAAGAAGAACAUCAAGGAGUAG
rnacentral:rRNA from 1 species